rnacentral:rRNA from 1 species
AGAGUUUGAUCCUGGCUCAGAUUGAACGCUGGCGGCAGGCCUAACACAUGCAAGUCGAACGGUAACAGGAAGCAGCUUGCUGCUUCGCUGACGAGUGGCGGACGGGUGAGUAAUGUCUGGGAAACUGCCUGAUGGAGGGGGAUAACUACUGGAAACGGUAGCUAAUACCGCAUAACGUCGCAAGACCAAAGAGGGGGACCUUAGGGCCUCUUGCCAUCGGGUGUGCCCAGAUGGGAUUAGCUAGUAGGUGGGGUAACGGCUCACCUAGGCGACGAUCCCUAGCUGGUCUGAGAGGAUGACCAGCCACACUGGAACUGAGACACGGUCCAGACUCCUACGGGAGGCAGCAGUGGGGAAUAUUGCACAAUGGGCGCAAGCCUGAUGCAGCCAUGCCGCGUGUAUGAAGAAGGCCUUCGGGUUGUAAAGUACUUUCAGCGGGGAGGAAGGGAGUAAAGUUAAU